rnacentral:misc_RNA from 1 species
GCAGCAGUCUCAUUAAACUUUGCCCGCAAAUCAGGAUGCAAGGGAAGAAAUGCAACGUGGGGAUUGGAUGAGUCGUUAUUGAGUGUGUAGUCCCACCACUUAUCCCAUGGUAAAACAUCAAUAAUAUCAUCCUCCACUCCAUUUCCACGCCCAGAUUCAGCAACCCACAACUUUCCUUCAGAGUCCCUUAAGAAAACAGCAGAAUGACCGGCAUAUGAUCCAGUAACCCACUUCUGUAGAGUCUCAAAAG